rnacentral:rRNA from 1 species
AGCGAACGCUGGCGGCAUGCUUAACACAUGCAAGUCGCGCGGGUGGUUUCGGCCAUCAGCGGCGGACGGGUGAGUAUCGCGUAGGAAUGUAUCCCGAGGUGGGGGACAACCCUGGGAAACUGGGGCUAAUACCGCAUGGGGCCUGUGGGUCAAAGCCUUAGGGCGCCUUGGGAGCAGCCUGCGUCCGAUUAGGUAGUUGGUGGGGUAAAGGCCUACCAAGCCUGCGAUCGGUAGCUGGUCUGAGAGGACGAUCAGACACACUGGGACUGAGACACGGCCCAGAAUCCUACGGGAGGCAGCAGUGGGGAAUAUUGGACAAUGGGCGCAAGCCUGAUCCAGCAAUGCCGCGUGGGUGAAGAAGGUCUUCGGAUUGUAAAGCCCUUUCGGCGGGGACGAUGAUGACGGUACCCGCAGAAGAAGCCCCGGCUAACUUCGUG